AGAAAUGCUAUUGGGACACACACCUCCAACAAAUAUACAACAUAAAAGGGUAUAUUGGUCAUUUUGCUAAUUGAGAAACCUCCCACACGUGACUUGUGGUUGUCAUUUUCCUAUUUUNNNNNNNNNNNNNNNNNNNNNNNNNNNCUUCAAGCUGCCACAGUCGACACCAUGCCGCCUCUCGCCACAGUCGCCGCCAUGUCGUCUCUCUCCACUCCGUCGCCUUCUUGUAUGUGUCUUGUUAUGUCUCUCGCUCUACUCACUGCGUGCGCUCUCUCUCGCUCUCCUCGCUGCAAUGUGAUCUCUUUCUCACUCUCCUUGUUGCAAUUUGUUAUCUGAAGCUCUGUUUAUCCUUAAGGUAAGCAUUCUUUAAAAAUGAAUUAGGGUUAGGGUGAAAUGAUUUAGGUUAUAAAUUGGGGGUUAAAUGAUCUAGGGUCUAAAUUUGGGGUUAAAUGAUUUUAGUAUUCUCACCAUCUAUGAGCAUUCAUCAUCAUUGUGCACAAGCUAUUUGAUAAAAUGUUUGAAUUGCUGGAUUUAGAAGAAAAAUAGUUUUUUUUUUUUGCUAGAAAUUGGGCUUAAAAUGCUUAAAGUUUUUAGCUCUCUGUCUGUUCUUGUUUUGGCUAGAGAUCGGACUUGUUGGUGAUUCAACUACUCGNN
rnacentral:lncRNA from 1 species